rnacentral:rRNA from 1 species
AUUGAUUUUAUGCUUGCAUAAAUGAUUUUUGGAUUCGGAGCGAGUGGCGAACUGGUGAGUAACACGUGGGUAACCUGCCCCGAAGCGGGGGAUAACAUUUGGAAACAAGUGCUAAUACCGCAUAAUUAGUUGGAACCGCAUGGUUCCAACUUGAAAGAUGGCUCUGCUAUCACUUUGGGAUGGACCCGCGCCGUAUUAGUUAGUUGGUGAGAUAAAAGCCCACCAAGACGAUGAUACGUAGCCGACCUGAGAGGGUAAUCGGCCACAUUGGGACUGAGACACGGCCCAGACUCCUACGGGAGGCAGCAGUAGGGAAUCAUCCACAAUGGACGAAAGUCUGAUGGAGCAACGCCGCGUGAGUGAUGAAGGUUUUCGGAUCGUAAAACUCUGUUGUUAAAGAAGAACAAGUGUUAGAGUAACUGUUAACACUUUGACGGUAUUUAACCAGAAAGCCACGGCUAACUACGUGCCAGCAGCCGCGGUAAUACGUAGGUGGCAAGCGUUGUCCGGAUUUAUUGGGCGUAAAGCGAGCGCAGGCGGUUUUGUAAGUCUGCUGUGAAAGCCCUCAGCUCAACUGGGGAAGUGCAGUGGAAACUACAAAACUUGAGUACAGAAGAGGAAAGUGGAACUCCAUGUGUAGCGGUGAAAUGCGUAGAUAUAUGGAAGAACACCAGUGGCGAAGGCGGCUUUCUGGUCUGUUACUGACGCUGAGGCUCGAAAGCAUGGGUAGCGAACAGGAUUAGAUACCCUGGUAGUCCAUGCCGUAAACGAUGAAUACUAGGUGUUGGAGGGUUUCCGCCCUUCAGUGCCGCAGCUAACGCAUUAAGUAUUCCGCCUGGGGAGUACGACCGCAAGGUUGAAACUCAAAGGAAUUGACGGGGGCCCGCACAAGUGGUGGAGCAUGUGGUUUAAUUCGAUGCUACGCGAAGAACCUUACCAGCUCUUGACAUCUUCUGCCAACCCAAGAGAUUGGGCGUUCCCUUCGGGGACAGAAUGACAGGUGGUGCAUGGUUGUCGUCAGCUCGUGUCGUGAGAUGUUGGGUUAAGUCCCGCAACGAGCGCAACCCUUAUUAUUAGUUGCCAGCAUUUAGUUGGGCACUCUAGUGAGACUGCCGGUGAUAAA